rnacentral:rRNA from 1 species
UGGGGAAUUUUGGACAAUGGGGGAAACCCUGAUCCAGCCAUCCCGCGUGUGCGAUGAAGGCCUUCGGGUUGUAAAGCACUUUUGGCAGGAAAGAAACGUCGCGGGUUAAUACCCCGCGAAACUGACGGUACCUGCAGAAUAAGCACCGGCUAACUACGUGCCAGCAGCCGCGGUAAUACGUAGGGUGCAAGCGUUAAUCGGAAUUACUGGGCGUAAAGCGUGCGCAGGCGGUUCGGAAAGAAAGAUGUGAAAUCCCAGAGCUUAACUUUGGAACUGCAUUUUUAACUACCGGGCUAGAGUGUGUCAGAGGGAGGUGGAAUUCCGCGUGUAGCAGUGAAAUGCGUAGAUAUGCGGAGGAACACCGAUGGCGAAGGCAGCCUCCUGGGAUAACACUGACGCUCACGCACGAAAGCGUGGGGAGCAAACAGGAUUAGAUACCCUGGUAGUCCACGCCCUAAAUGAUGUCAACUAGCUGUUGGGGCCUUCGGGCCUUGGUAGCGCAGCUAACGCGUGAAGUUGACCGCCUGGGGAGUACGGUCGCAAGAUUAAAACUCAAAGGAAUU